GGUUUGACAAAAUGGCUUAGGGAUUAGAGCAUCUGUCUCAGAUGCAGAAGUUUGUGGGUUUGAUUCCCGGUCAAGUUA